UCUUGUCCCCGGUGUUUUCUACUUCUUGGUCUUCGUCGCCGAGAAAAAUCUCCUUGACUUAUCUCGAGGUGGUAGGUAGGUCCUGCCACUCUUCCUCCUCCGAUGGCGAGCCGUCCCCGUGCCAUUCGUCCACUACGUCUAAAGCGUGUGGCACAUACGAGUCCUCUUCGUCUGAGGAAGGCAGCGCUCGGGGUGUAGGUGAUCGCCUGUCUGUAC